UCAGAUUUGAAUGCUAAAUUAAGGAAGUGAGGUAGUGAAAAUAAGAAUUAGGGGUUAGAGGUUCAAUUAGACUGUUGGACCAACUUUAAUAAGUCAAAUGUGACUUGCUUGAACCCUUAAACUGGUCAAAAGUGUGUCAAAAGUGGCAGAUUAGAAUUUGGGUCUAUAAGUUAUGAUUUUAAAGGUUUUGUUGUAUUAAAUUGCCCAAAAACACUUUAGAU
rnacentral:lncRNA from 1 species